GUAGCCCAGACCCAGGGAUGUGGGGGCCAGAGAUAGGAGUGUGGAGGAUGCUAGGUAGCCCUUUCUCUCUCCUUCCCUCCACAGCAAGGUGUCCCUGCCUUCACUGUGCUCCAACCUGAAGGUCCCCUGGCAGUGCUGAGGGACCGAGCCCAGCAGAUCUCAUGUCCUCUAUACCUGUGUCCGAUGCUGGAGGCCCUGGAGGAAGGGGGGCCGCCGCUGACUCUGGGCCUGGAGGGGGAGCACCAGCGGUCCAACGCUGCCUUGGCCUUGCAGCUGGCCCACUGCUGGCUGCAGCGGCAGGACCACCAUGGUGCUGGGGAGCCGAAGGCAUCCAGGCCAGGGCUUCUGUGGCAGCUGCCCCUGGCACCUGUGUUCCAGCCCACAUCCCACAUGCGGCUCGGGCUUCGGAACACGGAGUGGCCGGGCCGGACGCAGGUGCUGCGGCGCGGGCCCCUCACCUGGUACCUGGACGGUGCGCACACCGCCAGCAGCGUGCAGGCCUGCGUUCGCUGGUUCCGCCAGGCGCUGCAGGGCCGCGAGCGGCCGAGCGGUGGCCCC
rnacentral:sRNA from 1 species